rnacentral:rRNA from 1 species
CUAAUGUUGAAAAAUUAGCGGAUGACUUGUGGCUGGGGGUGAAAGGCCAAUCAAACCGGGAGAUAGCUGGUUCUCCCCGAAAGCUAUUUAGGUAGCGCCUCGUGAACUCAUCUCCGGGGGUAGAGCACUGUUUCGGCAAGGGGGUCAUCCCGACUUACCAACCCGAUGCAAACUGCGAAUACCGGAGAAUGUUAUCACGGGAGACACACGGCGGGUGCUAACGUCCGUCGUGAAGAGGGAAACAACCCAGACCGCCAGCUAAGGUCCCAAAGUCAUGGUUAAGUGGGAAACGAUGUGGGAAGGCCCAGACAGCCAGGAUGUUGGCUUAGAAGCAGCCAUCAUUUAAAGAAAGCGUAAUAGCUCACUGGUCGAGUCGGCCUGCGCGGAAGAUGUAACGGGGCUAAACCAUGCACCGAAGCUGCGGCAGCGACGCUUAUGCGUUGUUGGGUAGGGGAGCGUUCUGUAAGCCUGUGAAGGUGUGCUGUGAGGCAUGCUGGAGGUAUCAGAAGUGCGAAUGCUGACAUAAGUAACGAUAAAGCGGGUGAAAAGCCCGCUCGCCGGAAGACCAAGGGUUCCUGUCCAACGUUAAUCGGGGCAGGGUGAGUCGACCCCUAAGGCGAGGCCGAAAGGCGUAGUCGAUGGGAAACAGGUUAAUAUUCCUGUACUUGGUGUUACUGCGAAGGGGGGACGGAGAAGGCUAUGUUGGCCGGGCGACGGUUGUCCCGGUUUAAGCGUGUAGGCUGGUUUUCCAGGCAAAUCCGGAAAAUCAAGGCUGAGGCGUGAUGACGAGGCACUACGGUGCUGAAGCAACAAAUGCCCUGCUUCCAGGAAAAGCCUCUAAGCAUCAGGUAACAUCAAAUCGUACCCCAAACCGACACAGGUGGUCAGGUAGAGAAUACCAAGGCGCUUGAGAGAACUCGGGUGAAGGAACUAGGCAAAAUGGUGCCGUAACUUCGGGAGAAGGCACGC